rnacentral:rRNA from 1 species
UACGGGGGGGGCAAGCGUUUGUUCGGAAUUACUGGGCGUAAAGGGCUCGUAGGCGGCCAACUAAGUCAGACGUGAAAUCCCUCGGCUUAACCGGGGAACUGCGUCUGAUACUGGAUGGCUUGAGGUUGGGAGAGGGAUGCGGAAUUCCAGGUGUAGCGGUGAAAUGCGUAGAUAUCUGGAGGAACACCGGUGGCGAAGGCGGCAUCCUGGACCAAUUCUGACGCUGAGGAGCGAAAGCCAGGGGAGCAAACGGG